rnacentral:lncRNA from 1 species
AUCUUUGAUUCCUCAUAGAGUUGUGAAGAUCUUAAAAGGACAAUUUUCCAGGGAGCAACCACUGCCGUGGUCACCUGCAGCAGCGGCUACACUGGUGUGGUCACCUACAGGGACAUCUGCUGGUGCUUCCCAAUGGCAGGGCCUGGUCGGCGAUUUGCAAAGCGAUGCCUUGAAAGUGAGCCACGAAAUCAAUUCAGUGGGCUCAACCAGCACCCAAAGACAUAACAACACAAUAGAAAACGUCAGAGUACAUAACAAGUAAUAAAGAUGAGGAAGGG